GCCGAGGUGGCGAAAUUGGUAGACGCGCACGGUUCAGGGCCGUGUGGGCUUUGCUCAUAGGAGUUCGACCCUCCUUCUCGGCA
rnacentral:tRNA from 1 species